rnacentral:rRNA from 1 species
GUAACACGUGAGUAACCUGCCCUUGACUCUGGGAUAACUGCUAGAAAUGGUAGCUAAUACCGGAUACGACCCUCGGCCGCAUGGUCAGGGGGUGGAAAGAAUUUUGGUCAAGGAUGGACUCGCGGCCUAUCAGGUAGUUGGUGAGGUAAUGGCUCACCAAGCCUACGACGGGUAGCCGGCCUGAGAGGGUGACCGGCCACACUGGGACUGAGACACGGCCCAGACUCCUACGGGAGGCAGCAGUGGGGAAUAUUGCACAAUGGGCGAAAGCCUGAUGCAGCAACGCCGCGUGAGGGACGACGGCCUUCGGGUUGUAAACCUCUUUUAGUAGGGAAGAAGUGAAAGUGACGGUACCUGCAGAAAAAGCACCGGCUAACUACGUGCCAGCAGCCGCGGUAAUACGUAGGGUGCAAGCGUUGUCCGGAAUUAUUGGGCGUAAAGAGCUCGUAGGCGGUUUGUCGCGUCUGCUGUGAAAUCCGGAGGCUCAACCUCCGGCCUGCAGUGGGUACGGGCAGACUAGAGUGCGGUAGGGGAGAUUGGAAUUCCUGGUGUAGCGGUGGAAUGCGCA